rnacentral:rRNA from 1 species
CUACGGGGGGCUGCAGUGGGGAAUAUUGGACAAUGGGCGAAAGCCUGAUCCAGCCAUGCCGCGUGUGUGAAGAAGGCCUUCGGGUUGUAAAGCACUUUCAGUGGGGAAGAAAGCCUUGGGGCUAAUACCCUCGAGGAAGGACAUCACCCACAGAAGAAGCACCGGCUAACUGCCGUGCCAGCAGCCGCGGUAAUACGGAGGGUGCGAGCGUUAAUCGGAAUUACUGGGCGUAAAGCGCGCGUAGGCGGUCUGAUAAGCCGGUUGUGAAAGCCCCGGGCUCAACCUGGGAACGGCAUCCGGAACUGUCAGGCUAGAGUGCAGGAGAGGAAGGUAGAAUUCCCGGUGUAGCGGUGAAAUGCGUAGAGAUCGGGAGGAAUACCAGUGGCGAAGGCGGCCUUCUGGACUGACACUGACGCUGAGGUGCGAAAGCGUGGGUAGCAAACAGGAUUAGAUACCCGAGUAGUC